rnacentral:rRNA from 1 species
AUUGAACGCUGGCGGCAUGCUUUACACAUGCAAGUCGAACGGCAGCGCGGGCUUCGGCCUGGCGGCGAGUGGCGAACGGGUGAGUAAUGCAUCGGAACGUGCCCAGUAGUGGGGGAUAGCCCGGCGAAAGCCGGAUUAAUACCGCAUACGACCUGAGGGUGAAAGCGGGGGACCGAAAGGCCUCGCGCUAUUGGAGCGGCCGAUGUCGGAUUAGCUAGUUGGUGGGGUAAAGGCUUACCAAGGCGACGAUCCGUAGCUGGUCUGAGAGGACGACCAGCCACACUGGGACUGAGACACGGCCCAGACUACUACGGGAGGCAGCAGUGGGGAAUGUUGGACAAUGGGGGCAACCCUGAUACAGCCAGGCCGCGUGCGGGAAGAAGGCCUUCGGGUUGUAAACCGCUUUUGUUCGGGAAGAAAUCCUCUGGGCUAAUACCCCGGGGGGAUGACGGUACCGGAAGAAUAAGCACCGGCUAACUACGUG